AUCAAUCAGCUGGUUUUCGUUCUGGUGAUCGUGGUGAUGUUGCACUUUUGUCUUGAUCAAUCCACUAAUGUUGAUAUCAGAUGUAUCUGUUGAAAGUUCAUUUCCAGAGCGAUCCGAUGCUGAUGAAAGCUUUUCGCCAGUCAUGAUGUCACGAAAAUCAGCAGAGAUGGAGAUGAGAUUUGAUUUUGUUGCAGAUUUCCGAUCGCUGAGGUAGAGAGUGCUGAACGGAAUUCAGAUCGAGGAAGGAGUACAUAUGGUAUGAUAGGAAGGAUUUGCG
rnacentral:lncRNA from 1 species